rnacentral:rRNA from 1 species
CGUUGGCCCAAUUGAUUGAUGGUGCUUGCACCUGAUUGAUUUUGGUCGCCAACGAGUGGCGGACGGGUGAGUAACACGUAGGUAACCUGCCCAGAAGCGGGGGACAACAUUUGGAAACAGAUGCUAAUACCGCAUAACAACGUUGUUCGCAUGAACAACGCUUAAAAGAUGGCUUCUCGCUAUCACUUCUGGAUGGACCUGCGGUGCAUUAGCUUGUUGGUGGGGUAAUGGCCUACCAAGGCGAUGAUGCAUAGCCGAGUUGAGAGACUGAUCGGCCACAAUGGGACUGAGACACGGCCCAUACUCCUACGGGAGGCAGCAGUAGGGAAUCUUCCACAAUGGGCGCAAGCCUGAUGGAGCAACACCGCGUGAGUGAAGAAGGGUUUCGGCUCGUAAAGCUCUGUUGUUAAAGAAGAACACGUAUGAGAGUAACUGUUCAUACGUUGACGGUAUUUAACCAGAAAGUCACGGCUAACUACGUGCCAGCAGCCGCGGUAAUACGUAGGUGGCAAGCGUUAUCCGGAUUUAUUGGGCGUAAAGAGAGUGCAGGCGGUUUUCUAAGUCUGAUGUGAAAGCCUUCGGCUUAACCGGAGAAGUGCAUCGGAAACUGGAUAACUUGAGUGCAGAAGAGGGUAGUGGAACUCCAUGUGUAGCGGUGGAAUGCGUAGAUAUAUGGAAGAACACCAGUGGCGAAGGCGGCUACCUGGUCUGCAACUGACGCUGAGACUCGAAAGCAUGGGUAGCGAACAGGAUUAGAUACCCUGGUAGUCCAUGCCGUAAACGAUGAGUGCUAGGUGUUGGAGGGUUUCCGCCCUUCAGUGCCGGAGCUAACGCAUUAAGCACUCCGCCUGGGAGUACGACCGCAAGGUUGAAACUCAAAGGAUUUGACGGGGG